GCCCAGCACCGAAUCCUUCACCAUCUCGGUGACAGGAAAUGUGGUGUUUAGGCCGUACCUUGUCCCGAUACGUCUCUCCUCAAGUCCACUUGAUUGUGGCCCCAGGCCCAGAGAGGGUGUAAGGCCCGUUGAGGCGAGACGUUCGGUACCUGGUGCGUCCUUAGAGUCGGGUUGUUUGGGAAUGCAGCCCUAAGCGGGUGGUAAACUCCAUCCAAGGCUAAAUACCAGCACGAGUCCGAUAGCGAAGAAGUACCGCGAGGGAAGGUUGAAAAGAACUUUGAAGAGAGAGUUCAAGAGUACGUGAAACCGCUGAGAGGCAAACUGGUGGAACUGAAAUGGUCCCGAGGAAUUCAGCCGUUGGAGGUUGUGCAGUCUUUGGUGCUUGAUUUAACGACAACGCCAUUGAAUGGUGCUUCCGCCAUCGGUGCACUUUCCUCGUAAUUGGGCCCGACCACGACCGGUGAGCUGACCUGUCUGUCGUGCUUGGAAGAUAGCGUCAUCUUCGGAAGGCGUGUUAUAGACUUGCACACGGAGCAGUCGGCGCACUGGAAAAUAGUGCCUGCCCUCUGGGCUCAUAUGGUGGUUGUUUUGUUGGCGAGUUCCGAUGUCACUACUUCGGUAGAGUCGUUGGACUCUGUCGGCAUUAUGGUCGUCCUCUAUGAUUGGCACUGGUAAGUCUGUGGUUGUGAAGUAGGUAGUCCACCUGACCCGUCUUGAAACACGGACCAAGGAGUCUAACAUGUGCGCGAGUCAUUGGGUUCACGAAACCUAAAGGCGCAGUGAAGGUAAAGAUCUGUUUUGGCAGAUUGAGGUGGGAUGCUGGGUUACGCGCCCAGCCGCACUACCGGCCCGUUCUAUAUGUAUCUCAUAGGAGCGGAGCAAGAGCGUACACGUUGGGACCCGAAAGAUGGUGAACUAUGCUUGCGCAGGUCGAAGCCAGAG
rnacentral:rRNA from 1 species